AACGCGAUAAGUCGACCGCCUGGGGAGUACGGCCGCAAGGUUAAAACUCAAAUGAAUUGACGGGGGCCCGCACAAGCGGUGGAGCAUGUGGUUUAAUUCGAUGCAACGCGAAGAACCUUACCUACUCUUGACAUCCUGCGAACUUGUGAGAGAUCACUUGGUGCCUUCGGGAGCGCAGAGACAGGUGCUGCAUGGCUGUCGUCAGCUCGUGUUGUGAAAUGUUGGGUUAAGUCCCGUAACGAGCGCAACCCUUGUCCUUAUUUGCCAGCGGGUAAUGCCGGGAACUCUAAGGAGACUGCCGGUGACAAACCGGAGGAAGGUGGGGACGACGUCAAGUCAUCAUGGCCCUUACGAGUAGGGCUACACACGUGCUACAAUGGCCGGUACAAAGGGUUGCGAGCUCGCGAGAGUCAGCUAAUCCCGAAAAGCCGGUCUCAGUCCGGAUCGGAGUCUGCAACUCGACUCCGUGAAGUCGGAAUCGCUAGUAAUCGUGAAUCAGAAUGUCACGGUGAAUACGUUCCCGGGCCUUGCACACACCGCCCGU
rnacentral:rRNA from 1 species